GCAGGGACCUGACCCUCUUGUCUGUCCUGCCCCCUCCUCCAGGAAGGGACCAAGCACGCUGAGUCCUGCUUAGUCUACACCCCUACACCCUGCUUCUGGUGUUGGAGGCAGCACUCUGUGCCAUAAAUCUUCCCAAAGGAGAUGUUUAGAGAAGGAAAGGGCUGAGGCCUGGUGUCAGCCAGAGGGGAGCUUGUCUCCCAGGAAGAGACUUCAUACCGUUCUGACAACUUGUUAGGUCACCUACGGGAGAGAGGAGCCGGGAAAUGGUGAGCCAGUUCCACCUUGGCCAAGACUACUUGGCUCUUCAUGCCUCUUGCCCUCUGUUUAAACACAAACCUCACGCCAGGACCCUCAGAGGGGUUUGUGGGAGGAGGGUGUCACUGGAUGUCUUUGGUCUCUUCUCAAUGUGCCCACAUCAAAUAAAUCUCUUUUCUCUGCUUUGAUAUAGCUUGUCUCUUUCAUUGGCCUAGUGGGGUCUGGAGGCUAAGCCUGCCUUGUUAAUGCUUUCAUGGUCCAGCCAGGCUCUGACCCUAACAACUUGGAUAACAGGAUGCUCCUGGUGUUUCCACAAGCCCUCCUCACCCUGUACUGGAAGAGGCUCCCAAGGGGCCUUGCGAGCUGUCCACUGUUUUCUCUUGGGUCCAGCCAUUGGGAGCACUUGCAGAAGGCGGGGGUGUGGGGAUGUGGAGCUGUGGUUGUUACAUCCUCUGGAUUUGUGGGUCUGUAUCCUCUUCCUCCUCGCUCCCAGCUGGCAGCUCUUAAGGGUUAGCCCUCUCUCUCCUGAGCUUCAGAAACCACAAAUGACUCUGAGGAAGAGAAGCCUGUCUUCCCCAAGGUGGCUGAAGCUGAGCACCUGGAACCUGAGGACAGCUGGUAGCCUCAGAAAUGCACCGACAAGAGUUGAGGAAGAGUUGUGCGCCCAAGGGGAAACAGAGGCAGUCAAGAGCUCAGGCCUGGCUGGAGCCCACUCUUCACUUCUGAUAGAGUUCUCCUUCUCUUCUGCUCCUUCCAGGUCAGGGCGUGCAUAUGUCCCAUCUACUCAGCCCAGAACCAAGAAGGGAGUGAGAGUGGGCUCCACGGCAAAGUGACCAAUCAAAUGCCUUCCUGGAGCUGGGGGCGGAGCAGGCGGCAAAACGACCAAUCAAAUGUCUUCCUGGGCUGGGGCGGAGCAGACGACAGUAAUCCACCUGUGACACCCAGGCAGAUGCUGGGACCACAGACGUGUUCAAAGCCAGGACAACGGAUGCAGGGCUGUACAUGUGGAGCGGUUGGCAGAGCGCUUGUCUAGCACACCCAAGGCUCUGGGCUCGAUCUCCACACUCUGUGGAGGUGCUCGCCUCACACUGCACACCCUCGGCAGAGGGUAGAGAGGUGUGGGGAUCAGAAGUUCAGGGUCGUGGUUGGCUGCACAGCAAGUUUUAGGAGAGCCUGAGUUACACAAGACUUUGUCUCUAAAAGAAGGUGGGCUGGGGGCAGGGGAUGACCCCUACAUGCAUAAGGAGUUCAAUUUGGAGCUCAGGUUCAGGGGCAAGGGUCGGUAACCCUACUGCUCACUAGAUAGACAGUCUGGCCAAGUGGUGAGCUUCUGGUCUCCAAAAAUAAGGUAGAGGGUAUUAAAGGUAGGUUCCUGAUGUCAGCCUCUGGCUUCCAUACAUGAACACGUGUGCUUGCACACCCGCACACCCACGUGUAGAUCAUACACUAAGAUGUGAUAGGACAUUUCAAAGUAAGGAUGCAUCACUCCACAUGGCAAUCAAGAAGCCAGCUGUUAGGACUGGACAGAUGGCUCAGCGGUUAAAAGCACUGACUGUUGGGGCUGGGGAUUUAGCUCAGUGGUAGAGCGCUUACCUAGGAAGCCCAAGGCCCUGGGUUCGGUCCCCAGCUCCGGAAAAAAAGAACCAAAAAAAAAAAAAAAAAAAAAGCACUGACUGUUUUUCCAGAGGUCCUGAGUUCAAUUCCCAGCAACCACAUAGUGGCUCACAGCCAUCUGUAAUGGGAUCCAAUGCCUUCUUCUGCUGUGUCUGAAGACAGCAACAGUGUACUUAUAUAUAAUAAGUAAAUAAAAAAAAAUCUUAAAAAAAAA